UGGGGAAUUUUGGACAAUGGGCGAAAGCCUGAUCCAGCAAUGCCGCGUGUGUGAAGAAGGCCUUCGGGUUGUAAAGCACUUUUGUCCGGAAAGAAAUGGCUCUGGUUAAUACCUGGGGUCGAUGACGGUACCGGAAGAAUAAGGACCGGCUAACUACGUGCCAGCAGCCGCGGUAAUACGUAGGGUCCAAGCGUUAAUCGGAAUUACUGUGCGUAAAGCGUGCGCAGGCGGUUGUGCAAGACCGAUGUGAAAUCCCCGAGCUUAACUUGGGAAUUGCAUUGGUGACUGCACGGCUAGAGUGUGUCAGAGGGGGGUAGAAUUCCACGUGUAGCAGUGAAAUGCGUAGAGAUGUGGAGGAAUACCGAUGGCGAAGGCAGCCCCCUGGGAUAACACUGACGCUCAUGCACGAAAGCGUGGGGAGCAAACAGG
rnacentral:rRNA from 1 species